CCUACGGGCGGCAGCAGUGAGGAAUAUUGGUCAAUGGACGAGAGUCUGAACCAGCCAAGUAGCGUGAAGGAUGACUGCCCUAUGGGUUGUAACCUUCUUUUAUAAAGGAAUAAAACGAGGCACGUGUGCCUUUUUGCAUGUACUUUAUGAAUAAGGAUGGGCUAACACCGUGCCAGCAGCCGCGGUAAUACGGAGGAUCCGAGCGUUAUGCGGAUUUAUUGGGUUUAACGGGUCCGUAGGUGGGUUGUUAAGUCAGAUGUGAAAGUUUGCGGUUUAACCGUAAAAUUGCAGUUGAAACUGGCAGUCUAGAGUACAGGUGAGGUAGGUGGAAUUCGUGGUGUAGCGGUAAAAUCCUUAGAUAUCACGAAGAACCCUGAUUGCGAAGGCAGCUUACUAAACUGUGACUGACACUGAUGCGCGAAAGUGUGGGUAUCAAACAGGAUUAGAUACCCGAGUAGUC
rnacentral:rRNA from 1 species